AACCUCUCAGGGUCGCACCUGGAGAGUUUCCGGUACUCUACCAGUCUCGACUACGGGAGCGAGAGCCAAGCAGAGGCAAUUCCAUUCCUAGCUUGGGCAGUGGCUAGUGAGUGGAAGGCCAUCUGUUACAAGU